rnacentral:snRNA from 1 species
GGAUGUGAGGGCGAUCUGGCUGCGACAACUGUCAACCCAUUGAUUGCCAGGGCUUUGGCUGAUCUUGCUGGCUAGGCGGGUGUCUCCCUCCUCCUUCACGGAUUCAUGUGCUCCCUCCCGAAGCUGCACUCAGUGGAAGAGGACGACCUUCACCCCAGAAGAGAGGACCAGUCUUUGGUCAAGGGUAUAGGAGUAGCUGUUCUCCCCUGCUAGGACCUCCACAUAAAGCUUUCAAGACACCUGAAAAACACAGCAAACACCAUGGGAUUUCUUCUCAGACUCAAAGCCAGAUCUGAUAACUGAUUAAUACACAUCUGUAAAGGUGCAGCACCUUGUAUUU